UCUCAGAUCUUGGCAGCACUUGUGGAAAACUUGCAGCCUGGUCACUCUUCUUCAUCUGGGUACAAACACUGACCUUCAAACGGAUGCACUGACAAGUUGGUAUGUAUGCAGAGGCAGAAACUUUACAGCCCAAAGCUCACUCCCUUAAAAACGCCCCCGGUUUCCGACGGGUUCUGUCGACCCGGAGCCCAGCUCUUUUGUUCUCGAGCAAAUCGUCCGUAACAAAUCAAGGAGAGGAGUGUAAUGAGCACAAUAAGUCAAGGCUAGCAACAUCCGACGAUGAAGUUCUGAGCAGGAAUUUAACCUCUCGGUUGGCAACAAUACGUUUGUAAACAAAGCAUCAGCAAGAACACAAUUCAAACAGUGAAUCACUUCGCAUGAUGGAGCACAACCACCAUGACGUUUAUGGACUGUAAAACUUUAUUAGCACCGCAAACACAAUGCUGUUUAGCAGGAAAUUGCGAUGUAUUGUUCUGCAUGUCUGCCUUUUCCACUCUGUUGCGUUUGAGCCUGGACUCCAGAGCUACUCCCCACUCUGGUUAGUCAACAGUUCAGGCAUCCCAAUCUGUAGUUUCUAUCUUUCGAAGGAAACAUUGUUGCGCUGAAAUGGCAGCAGCAUUUUUGUCCAGAAGAACAGGUGCAAAGCUCUGCAGACACUUGGCAGGUUGGAGCGUCCCCCAGUAGCCAGGGCAAACAGGAAGUUGCUCUGAUGUGAUUUAUCGACACGCCUGAAGCGCGCGCAUGAUUGACAAGCAAUGACUGCGGCAUUGUGUCCAGGGUGCGGCCCUCACACCUGAACAGCCCUGGUCUUCGUUCCCACACGGCAUCAAACAAACACGCUGACUUAUUUCGGUUCCCUGCAGGAGGAAGCGGGAGGAGCCCCGCCAGUAGAGCGGCAUCUCUGGCAUUCUCCUCAUUCCACCGACUUUAACACUUUCCAAGUGACCUCCUCCCUUCCUUCAAACGCUGACACGCAGACGUCUGACACGCCACGCCACCGUGCAACGCCGCAUGGACGCAUGACUGGCAUAGCUGCAGAGUUAGUCACAGUAUCUACCGCCACUCACCAACCACAAUCAUCCUGAGAGUGUGAGGCUGUCAGACAGGUGGAUUCAAGGAAUUGGCAGCCCAAAGCAAGGACCCAGGCGCGGCCCGUUGAACUGGGAACACGCGAAGAACAAACUAGUCGUGUGUUAAAACACAGGAACGUACGCAGAUCUGAUGUGGAAUGAUGAAAGUGAUUGAUCUAAGGGAGGAGACGCCUUGAAAAACACCUGUCGCCAGAAGCGACCAGCUAAGUACCUGACCUCUGACCCCUUUUAAUUGCUCUCUUGCGCUAAUCGCUUCAGAAUUGACCAAAGCAUUUCGCAGCUUGCCGCGUCCCUCGACUCAACGUUGAAACGUUGACCACUGAAGGUUUCUGGCAGGUGUUAGCAUCAACCCAGGUUUUCUCAGUUUUCACUUGCGCGCUCCGGUUGCAAUGCAAAGCACCCCAGCGCUCACGACAGGAGUGCUCCAAAUCUCCAAAAUACCUUAUGAUGAACCGCACCAGGAACACAUGCGGCCACCUUGCCUGAGACCUGUUGAUACUCACUGCAAGCCAGGAUGGCAUUUUCCUCCUUCAGUGCAAGCUUGCCCGUACGAUACCAGGCUAAAAAAGUCCCUGUUCAACAAGACACUCUACACAUUGUGCUCCCCUCUUUGGGGAUAACAUGCCUCUUCCAAUGCCCUCUUGGCUUGGUACUCACAAAAGGCUCCGUCAAACUGAAGGACACCCUGGAAAGCUGUGAAAGUUGCGUAAUCGCAAACCUCCAGCCUGAAAAAGUCCCGCGUCCUUCUGUCCUAGUUUUGAACCUUUACGACCAGCGUGUGUGGCACGGUGCCAACUACACUCUAGUUUUUCUGAUUAGACGAAUAAUAAAACUCUCAUUACCGAUGUGAAUCUGGUUUCCCUCGUAAACCUGGUGGCGACGGAGGCAAAGCUGCUCCGAGGUGAAGUGAAAUCACGCUGCAGAUGCUUUCUCAUGAAUUCCACGAAACUUGUAAUGAUUUAUCUGCGACCGGAGCGCAGGGUAGUAAACAGAGCCAGAUAUUUGCCCUCCCACCCAUUACCCCGUCACCCCUCCCCCCCCCACCCCCACCCCGUACAGUAAAAGCUUUUAUUCUACAUGUGCUCAUUUACAACCUCGCUGUCCCACUGAGCAAACACGCCAUUAAUUCCAGCCCUGUGAUUGUUUCAUUCCGCUCAGCUACGAGACUCGAGCAGACCCAGUGAAAUGCUCUCAUGUCAUUAGAAGCUAGCGUGGCGUGACACGGCGCGCGCUGAUGCUUUCAUUAACAGAUAUAAUUGCAGGCUGCGUCCGGCUCGUUAUCUUCCAGGAUAUGAAAUUACAGCUGCGAGCUUCGCUCUGAUCUACCUGCUCAGGAUUGCGAGCGCUCACCUCACCUGACUGCCAACAACAACUCCAGCUACAAGCUUGCGUUCGCCAAGGAAAACAUCGGCGUGAUUGAAAUGACUUGCAGUUGUGCAACCUGAGGGAAGAGGAGUCAGCACACUGAACAUGAAAGGUCACAAGGUUGCCUCGCUCAUGUUUGUAAAUCGUAUUAUUGGGAAGGAACAGAUGAAGUUUAGAGGUACAUUCACACACCCAAAAUAAACCCUGGCAUUUCAGCAAUAUUUAGACGAAUCUUAAAACACAUCUACACAAAUAUUUUUAAUAGCAAUAUGCAAUACACUAGAAAUUUUAAUAAAUAAUUCCAUGUUAGAUCAUUGAUUAAAUAUGCAAUAAUAUUGCUUCAUUAAAUGUGAAAAUGUGAUGAUAAAAAUAAAUAUAAUUGAGCAUAUUUUUAAUAGAAUGUACAUGUGAAAAAUAAAUUAUAAUUAUUAAUAUAAUUUUAUGAAUAUUAAUACAUGAGAUUAAGCCCCAAAAAUGACAAUGUAUUUAAAAAAAUAUAUA